AUACUUAUCUAGCAAGGAAAAUACCAUGAUCAUGAAGGUGGUUUUCCCAGGGCGAGGCUUAUCCAUUGCAUUCCAGAUAUUCUGAGCCCUGCAAUUUCCCCAAAUCUGAGACACUUGACUACAUAAUUUUUGGUAGUGGGGAACUGUGUUCACACUUUCCCCUG
rnacentral:snRNA from 1 species